rnacentral:lncRNA from 10 species
ACAUGAGAUGCUCUCUUCAGUCCGGGGCUUGGUUGAACGGACUCACCAGGAAACGUGACUUUCGUGUCCGACCUCUGCUGUAUCAGGAUUCGAUUCUUGGUGUUAAACAAGACAACGCUGAAGGCUCGGUGCAGCAGCCCUGCAAAGGAGUGGAGCCCCAACCCACGCAGGGCGUGUCUUCAUGGCUUUUCCUGGCCAAUCUGAUACCAAGAUGCAGUGGCCAGAAGUACCUGCACUUCCACUCCUGUCAAGUCUCUGCAUGGCUAUGGUGAGGAAGAGCUCUGCACUGGGCAAGGAAGUUGGCCGUCGAGUGAAGGAAAUGGUGAUGCUGGUGGCCCCUUUCCGGCAGUCAAGUUCCCUAUCAAGGACAUUCAGUUCUCGGAAAGUGGUGAAGGCACAUGCUUCCCUGCAUGGUGCCCGCCUCUCUCCACUCUCUAGAAAUAUUAGAGGCUAGGCUGCUGCUGUAUGUCAGGGCUAGUCCCUCUUCUAUGAAUCCAGAAUAACUCUGAAGAAGCCGAGUAACAGGCAUGAAGUGAAGAGAAAUCGCUGUAACAGGAAGACAGCAAAGCAGAUGCUAAUGACCACACUAUUUAACGAACUGGAACCAACGAGAAAAUACGGUAUUACUGAAGACUGCACUUCCUUGAACAGAGUGCUCUUCUCAGCAAAUCGGAAAUGCCUACACAAAUCGCUUUACAAGAAAGACUGUUUCAAAGCAGCACCUUUCUCAAUGUUCUCGUUCAGGUGACAAUUCUUCUUGGUCUCAGCUCCAAUUUUAUUGUCAUUUUCAUCAAUAAGGAUACACAUCUCUGCCAGGAGUUGAACCUGUUGCUUGUCGAGGUGGUUAGUGUUUAUUUCAGGCAUCAUUACAAAAUGUCUGAUCUGUUCUAGAACACUAAUAUUAAAGGAAAAGAGAAAGAAAGGC